GAUGAACGCUGGCGGCGUGCCUAAUACAUGCAAGUCGAGCGCACGGACGAUACGCUUGCUUCUCUGAUGUUAGCGGCGGACGUGUGAGUAACACGUUGAUAACCUACCUAUAUGACUGGGAUAACUUCGGGAAACCGGAGCUAAUACCGUAUUAUAUUUUGAACUUCAUUGUUCAAAGAUGAAUGAUGGUAUUGCUCUCAUUUAUCACUGCAUCCUCGCGCUAUUAUCUAGUUGCUAAGGUAACGGCUUACGAAGGCAACGAUCCAUAACCCACCUGAGAGGGUGAUCGGCAACCCGGGAACUGGACAACGGUCAAGACUCCUAGGGGAGGCAGAAGAAGGGAAUCUUCCGAAAUGAGCGAAAGCUUGACGGAGCAACGCCGCGUGAGUGAUGAAGGUCUUGGAAUCGAAAAACUCGGUUAUAAGGGAAGAACAUAUGUGUAAGUAACUGUGCACAUCUUGACGGUACCUAAUCAGAAAGCCACGGCUAACUACGUG
rnacentral:rRNA from 1 species